UUGCUCUGAUACAAGAAAUUGAAGGUGCUUCUUUUACCCUAUCUGCUUAUUAAAAUAAAAAAACCAAAUUAAUUUAGUUUUGAAAACAUGGAAAAAAAUAAAUUAAUUUAAUUUUCUAGAAAAAAAAAAUGUAAAAACUAAAAUCAUAUCAUUCACUUCCUUCACCAUAACAAAAGUCGAAAUAUGCUCCUUCCCUUCGCCAUUGAAGUGUAAGAAUGGUCUCCAAGCUCCUUCCUUUCACUCUACUCUCUCUCUAUCCGCAACCAAACAACUCCUUCGUCUCUUCCUCUACUCAAUUUCAAGUUUUACUUGUUCUGUUUUAUUGU
rnacentral:misc_RNA from 1 species